rnacentral:lncRNA from 1 species
GGAAACGCACCGGGAAAGUAAAACUCGUUAAACUACUGAGCCCUCUCUCUUUCCGGCGGUGAAGUCUCUCCGAAAAGAUGUGGCUGGUUUGGUUGAAGGACCUCGUUACCCUUCUCAGGCAGUCGUUGCUACUUCAUUUUGAACGGCCAAUUCUCUAUCCAGUGCAGGUAAUUCCAUUUUAAUUCUUGUGGGUAAUGAGACCCAUUGUUAAAUUGGAGAACAUUCUCCUCGUUGCAAUUACUUAAUUACAAACAUUUCAAAACAAUUUGGCUGUUCUUUGAUGGCUUUAAAGGUCUAAAAGUGGAAAAUGAUAGCAUUUUCCAAAGCUGUAUAAUGAAAAUUUGGGAUAGUUUCAUGUUUCUGAAAAUUGGGUUGUAAAAAACCCUAAAAAUUAUUCUUGAUUAUAAGUCUGACUGACCUCCAAAGUUGUUUGUGAGUCUUACAACUUAAGGAAAGAAAGGGUUUAUAAGGAAAGGAUAUUUGCAACUGUCCUUAGCAAUCCCAUGUUUGUAAGAUUUUUUAAGUUGGGAAGGGUAAGGCAAACUGAGGAAAAUUUGGCCAAUUCUCCUUAGAAAGUUUUCUAUGAAAAGUGGUAGAAUUUGUAAGGAGAAUAAAAUAGACUUGAUGUAACUGGUCUUUUUUAUGUAAUUAUCCUUAUUGAUAACACAUUAAACAAAUUUCUGACAACCAUAUCCUAACUUACUAUUUUUUCCUUGCUAAACUCACAAAGAAAAGUUAAGGAAAAUACAGUUUUAUAAUUUUCUUUCCCAAAUUUUCCCAAGUCAAAAAUCCUUUGAAUUCCUUACCCAAACCGAUUGUCAAGUUGGUUGAAUCAAUAGCAUAAAAACUACCACAUUCUCAUAUUGUUGGAGUUUUUAUCUAACCAUUCUUGCUUUUUUAUUUUUAUAUUUUAUUUUAUUUAUUUUUAUUUUUAUUGUCAUCAUCAUCUUGGUAUGCCGUAUGCAUGUUGCCUAAUGUUUAAACCCUUGCACCUCUAAAUGGGUGAACAAAAUGAAACAAUACAGAUAAAAGCGAUUAGUUAAAAUUAACCCUUCCUUGGGAUAUAUGCCACAUGUAUAAGAGUUAAAGAGAGUUCUUAAUUAUUUAUCAUCUAUUUGUUUUCUUCCUAUAAGUAUCUAUUUAGCUAUAUUUUUUUAUUGAAUAUUCUUUCCCUUAUUCGAAGUGGGAUUAAUGGGCCUCUCUGUUUUAGGUGAAGUCUUAUCUUCUUAUAAAUCUACUUCUUAUUUUUAUUAUAAAUUACUAUAACCUUUGUUAAUUUUGCUUAUAAGGAACAACAUAAUUCAUCAAAUCCCUUUUUAUUUUGUUUAACAUAGAAUAGAAUAAUCGACCCAAUUCCCUUUUCUUUUCCGGUGCACUUGCUUUAUAUCUUCGGCACACAAGGAAGACGCGGAAGGUCUUUCAAUUCAAAGUAGUCGAUUGAAGUGGUAAAGGCGGGAAGGUCUUAUCGUGGAACUCAAUUUCAUUUAGAAAGCCUUAUCUCUAUCUUUCAGCAACUGAACGGGAAGUGGUUUAGGAAAGGAUUUUAGAAUCGGAUGCGCUUGCCCAGUGAGAAAGGCCAUGACCCUGCCCCUGCCCCUGCCAACCAAGUCAAAAUUAAAAAGACAGAAGAGAACGAAAGGAGAAGAUAACUUUGUAGUGAACACCCUAAGACCUAGCCUCAAGAUUAAAUUUAUCCUCAAGGUUAAAUUUAUUUCUAAUGAAAAGAAAAAUGUGUUCGUCGAAGGUCUUAAGGUUCAGAGCAAUCAAGAAGCACCGGUAACAAAUUUCAUGUAAUUUAACUGCUCAUGUCCAAAAGUCCAAACAUAGUCAAUUGCCUAUCAAGGUUAAGCAGUUAUUGUCCGUUGGUUAGUGAACAAUGCUAAUUGCUACAUCCAGCAGAGCUGUUACCCAGUAAAAAUAUCUUAGACCAUGGAAAAUCUUGAUUAGUUUCUGUCAAUAUAUGUUACUGUCCUACCCAUACAAUCCCAUUUCCUUUUUUUAAUGUAUUUAAAUUUAUUAUUAUUUGCUAAAAUUUCCCUUUUAUUGUUGUUAGUGAAAUGAUAGUGAACUGUGUUCUUCUUCUUCUUUUUCCUUUGGAUAUUAUUGCUUUCCUCACCCAUCACAAUCCUGUCAAAAAUGAGCCUUUCUGUGCUGAUACUUAGCGAUCCAUGAAUAAACACCCGCGACAUGGCCCCAUGGGAACUCGAAUUAGUGCCCCUAUGUUUUUAUUUUAUUUUAUUUUUUUAUACGGCCUUUACCAGUUGAUCUAAACUUGGGGUUUAUCUGUAGUUUACUUAUAUGUAGCGCUUGAAAACAGAAAAAGUAGAUUCCUUUUCAAAUUAGCAUAUAGUUAUGAACAAGCACAUGGCAUGGUUAAUAAAAGUUAGGAAUAAGUCAUGCUGUGGAUAGGGUCAUAGGGGUGUAAACGAAUAUAUAUAGAUCCGAAUACAGUUGUAUCCGUAUCUGAAAAAUUAAUUCGCUAUCUGUAUUCGUAUCCGAUAUCCAGCGAAUUUUAAAAAUAUUAUCCGUAUCCGGUAUUUGGAAUAAUAUCCGAAUACGGAUAAUAUCCAUUUUGGUUUACUUUAUUUGAAUAAACAGAUUAUUCGAAUAUCCAGCUAUCCGAAUUCGUUUAUCAAUCACCUAAUAUAAAAUUCAUUCAAAUUAUUUACAAAAAAAAUUGAAUAAUUAAUCAUCACCAAUCACAAUAUAAAGUUUAAACCAUACAUAUUAAUUAAACAUUCUAAUCAUAAAGGGGAGAAAAAUGUCAAACACAUCAUUAUACACCCUUGAUCAUAAAAAUCAAAAUUUAAACAUCUUAGAGAAAGUAUCAAAUUAACAUCAUUGAAAAGAUGAUAAAACUCUUGUUCUUCUUUGCAACCAUCCUUCAUUAAUUUGCAUCUUAACUAAUUGCAGCUGUAAGAGAAAAAUAAAUAAUAUUAGUAUAAUGAUAAUCUAAAAUAAUUGGAAAGCCCUAAAAGGUUAAAAGCAAAAAAACAAGCUUGAGCUGUCCCAACACUAACACCAGUCUUGACAAAUUAAUAAAUUUAUACAGCAAACAAAAUGCAAAAAGAUCGAACCAAGAAAAUUAGACAGUGUCCCAACACUAACUCUAGUCGUGACAGACCAGAGGCGAUUUUAUCGGCACGUGUAUCAUUGUAUGUUUGUUUGUGUGCUUGAGUGUUGGUCUUUGUGUAUCUGCAAGUGCAUGUUUCCAUCUGUGUCACACUAUAUGAACUAUUUCUUCACUGUAGUUCAAAUCAAGAUAGGAUUCUGCUUUAGUUUGAAGUACUGUAUGUAAUUUUAGACAUUACCACCUCAGGUGAUAAUAGGCUAAGGGGUAAUAAAAUAUAUUGUACUACCCAGAUCCCGAGAUUGUAAGGCCUCAGCAUAAAGGCCAUGCUUGAGGAGAUUACAUAAAGAUCUAUCCAAAAACUAGCUACAAUUGGCAAUACCAAGUAUAACUAGAACCUAACUAUAUGCAAUUAUCCCAAAAUUGAUCAAAACACCAGCUUUAAUUCACAAAUCACCAUUACUGCACAAUAAACUAUNNNNNNNNNNNNNNNNNNNNNNNNNNNNNNNNNNNNNNNNNNNNNNNNNNNNNNNNNNNNNNNNNNNNNNNNNNNNNNNNNNNNNNNNNNNNNNNNNNNNUGAAGAAUGGAUGGGAUUAUCUAUUAGGAGAUGUGAACAGUUUUUGUUCUGAACAUAAUAUUAGCAUCCCUAAUAUGGAAGAUAAUGUUCCAGGUCGCCUUCGUUGCAAACACACAUACUUUCACCACUUUCGAGUUGAGAUAUUUUGUCAGGUAUUCAAUUGUUUUUCUCUAUUUAUACUUCUAAUUAUGUUUUUGAAUAUAGAAGUAAUUUUAUUUUAUAUUUUUUAGGUUGUUGAUCGUAUUAGUCAAGAGAUGGAUAAUCGUUUCACUGAGACGAACACGGAAUUGCUCUUGUGCAUAGCAUGUCUUGAUCCUAAGAAUUCGUUCUCCAAUUUUAGUUUUUCAAAGUUAGUUCGACUUGCAGAACUAUAUCCACAAGACUUUUCAAUGGAUGAUCGAAUGGAGCUUAAAGAACAACUAAAGAUGUGGAUUUCUGAAAUGAGAGGAAAUGCAAGAUUUUCUAAACUAGAAAAUGUCGGAGAACUUGCAACUAAUAUGGUUGAGGUGGGAUAUCACACUACUUUUCAUUUAGUAUAUCUUCUUAUCAAGUUGGCUUUAGUUUUGCCUGUUGCGACUGCUAGUGUGGAACGAGUAUUUUCUGCGAUGAAUAUUGUUAAGACAAAUUUGCGCAACAAGAUGGGAGAUGACUUUCUCACCGACUGUUUGGUGUGCUAUGUCGAGAGAGAUAUUUUUAGGCGCAUUGAUAAUGAAGUGAUUAUCCAACAUUUUCAGAAUAUGAGAACUCGCAGGUUGGAUUUACCGCCUUUACGGUCCGAACUCCGAAGAGAGACUCCGUCGUUCUAGUACCGUUACCGGUUCAACAGUCAACAAUGUGUUUCAAUUUGUAAUUGAUUUUUUUUGUUUCAAUUGAAUUUGAGUAACUAAUUGAAAUGUUGAAUUAUUUGUGAUUUAGGAUUAAGAUUUUGUUGAAUGUUGAAUUAUUUGUGAUUUAGGAAUAUGGAAAAAAAAAAUCAACGAACUAAGAGGCCGUCGAAAAAAAAAUUACAUGCAUAAUCCGGACCUCCUUGUUGAAAUCCUCUGGCUCCACCACUGCCCAACACUAACGCUAGUCUUGACAGACUAGAGGCGAUUUUAUCGGCACGUGUAUCAGUGUAUGUUUGUUUGUGUGCUUGAGUGUUGGUCUUUGUGUUUCUGCAAGUGCAUGUGUCCAUCUGUGUCACACUAUAUGAACUAUUUCUUCAUCUGUAGUUCAAAUCAAGAUAGGAUUCUGCUUUAGUUUGAAGUACUGUAUGCAAUUUUAGACAUUACCACCUCAGGUGAUAGUAGGCUAAGGGGUAAUAAAACAUAUUGUACUGCCUGGAUCCCGAGAUUGUAAGGCCUCAGCAUAAAGGCCAUGCUUGAGGAGAUUACAUAAAGAUCUAUCCAAAAACUAGCUACAAUUGGCAAUACCAAGUAUAACUAGAUCCUAACUAUAUGCAAUUAUCCCAAAAUUGAUCAAAACACCAGCUUUAAUUCCUAAAUCACCAUUACUGCACAAUAAACUAUUCAUAUUCAAUUCACAAGUAAAAUGUUAAAUGUAUGUUACAGAGUAACCCUGAAACAUAAGCAUGUAGCUUAGAAGCUGUGAAAAAUAUAGACCAAUAACUCAUCAAUCAACAUAAAUCCCCCCAAAAUACCGCAAUUGUUUCAGUACAAAAAGGAAUUAGAUAAACAGAAAACUAGAUUACUUCUUUUAAAUAACCCCAUUUGUUAUAAAUUGAAAACAUUCUUAACAGACCCAGUAAGCAAAUAGACCUAUUCCCUAUCUCACACACACAAACACACAACACCGAGACAUAGUGGAAAUGGGGGAGAUUUAAUUACCUUUUUACGCUGAUCAGGCUACAUCUCAGUAGCAAAACAUAAAUCUCCUCCAAAGUAAUAAACAAGAAUGAGUAGUGAACAAAAUGGUGGAUCCCCCAAGAAAAAAUCAGCUAAGCUCGAAAAUUAACACCGACCCAGAAGAGAAAAAUCAAAUCUUUUUGGAUCAUAAGGCCAGUUGGAUAUAAUGAACUUAAGGUUAUAUAUUUACACACGUAUAUGUAUAUCAUGUAUACAAUAAAGAAAAAAAUAUUAUUUGAGAAUAAAUACUGAUGCGAAACGGAAGGAAAAAUUCAAAAUUAUUAUUAAUAAUUUUGUAUUAUUAUUUAGAGAGAAAUGUUGAGUUAUUAAUGAAAUUAUUUAGUAGGAUAUUAUAGUAGUAACUUUUCAUUAGGAGAGUUUUAAUUGUAUUAGUAGAUUUUAAUUAGGAGAGUUUAGACUAAAAGACACUUUGCACCCCAAACUUUACACAAAUGUUGACGUUUGCACCCCAAACUGAAAAAGGUGUCUAAGUACACCCCAAACUUUAGUUAUAAUUAACAAAAGACACACUUUCUUCAGUUAACCGGUUAAAAGUGACCGGCUAAGGCACACGUGUGGAUCUGGAGGGGUGUUUAAAUCUUUUCCACAUCUUCUUCUACUUCCCGAGCUGGAACAAGCUACUAAAGCUCUAACUGAUUUGUAAUUAAGGGCAGCUCGAUUAGAUUGUAAAUCCAGGAAAUUCGAUAAAAAAAAUUAGGAUUCAUGGAUCGAAAUUGCUGGUGCAUGAAGAAUUCAAUGAUGAAGACGACUUCGAGAAGCUCAAACAAUGCCGGUAGAAGAUUCCUUGGUUGUCCAGAUUGGUGUGAAGAUGGGCACGGUGGUUGUAAUUUCUUCGCUUGGGUUGAUCCUCCAAUGUGUGAGCAUUCAAGGGUAGUAAUACCUGGAUUAAUUAGAAGAUUAUAUAAUUUGAAUGCUGAAAUCAAAGUUCUGAAAGAUGAACUGAAGGAGUGCAACAUUAGGGCAAGGAUUGCAUGGGGUCUGUUGACUGCAACUUGGAUUGUGAUUUUUUAUUUCAUGUUCAUCUCAACAAAGGAUGAAAAUCCCCAUAAGUAAAUUCUAGGCUAUGUAUGUAUUGGUAGUACUCUGACUAAAAAAGACAGUUUUUUGUGGGCAAUUACUGGGAAUGUAAUUUCUGGGAUUGUAAUUUGUGGCAAUAUAGUGGUAGAAAUUAGGACACAUGGAAUGUAAUUGCUGGGAAUCUUUUGUGGGAAAUUUAUUAUGGAAUGUAAUUGCUAGACAUCUUUUGUUGGAAAUUUAUGUGUGAAUUGGUGCAAUUUUAUAGCUUGUUUAUGAUGUGCUAUAAAAUGGUUGGUGUGCAAUUUAUGAUAUCUGGUGCAUUUCAUAGGCACUCUGCAUUAAUGCACCAACCAUACUGCUAUAAUAGCAAGCACUGCAGAAAUGCACAAACCAUUUUGCUAUAAUAACCACAAGGCUCAACUGUUAUAAUAACCACACCAUGGUAGAAAAUGCUAUAAUCAAAAUGCUCUAAAUAAAAAUAAUUCAAUAGAAAACCAAAUUGUUAUAAACUUCUAGGAACUGCUAUUGCCAUUCAAUUAAGUAAUUAAUUUCCAGUACAUGUCACAAAGCAGAGGCAAUUCAAAACAGUUGACUUAACAUGCCUAUUAACAAAAAACAUCAUACACUGCAAUUGACAAUCCCAGCCACACCUUCUUAGCCCUAGGCAACAUACAUACACCAACACUAUUUAUCUGCAAUAUGCCCUCCACUAGUUGGUUUCCUAAACUGGAUCUUCUCUCUUUUGGAUCUUGCUGCAGCUUCUAGGUCUCUUAGUGUUGUACAUUGUUUUCCUUCGAUGUGUAAUCUUUGGGUUGUAAUAUAUCAUCUGAGUCAUUUCUUUAGCGACCUGAUAUACACAUUUAUUAUACAUUUUAAUAUUCUCAUAUUUAUUAUUUUUGUGUGUUUAUUUUAUUUAACUAAUACAUUUUAUUUGAUUUUAUAGGAUUUAUUUCGUUUAUCUUGGGGAGAAAAUAAAAGAUUAUAUGGGACUCUUGGAGGAUAAUCAUAAAGAAGUUGGAGUCAAUUUGCAGAUAAAGAGAUAAAGGAAAAGAAAAGUCCAAGUUCAAUGUAUCUUAGAUUAGGUUACAAUUUAUUUUUUCCUAUAAAUAAAUCUCUUUUUUUACAG